UACCUUUCCAGUCACCCAGUGUUGCGGUAACGCGAUUGCAUUCAUUUGAGAGGUCCUUUUAAUACAGUUGCGUAACGUUGUAUUACAUUAGACCAGCAAUGGAGGAUGAACUCAGACAAGACAGCAAUGAAGCGAAAGCUUGAAAUCGUAAAGCACGAGGAGGGAAUGGAAGGUCAACCGAUAACAAAACUAAGCUGUCACACCUGUUGGCUGGAACAUAUCAAAUCAGUUGGACCAUUAAGCACCUACUGGUUGGACGGGCUGAUAAAAACGAUAGUGAUAUAACCGCGGCCGGUUACAUUUUGCAACGGUGGCGCCUCUACCAGAGGGCGCGUAAUUGGGGUUGGAAGAUGUCAACAACGUGACAGAGACACAUUUCUGUACUGCAGUUAACUGCUGUCAUUCAAGAAAGAAAAGGCCUGAAUUAUCCGUUUUUCGAUUCCCCAAAGACAAUAAAGGGGACCAUCGGUGAUCUAAUUAAAAUUGUGCUGACACUAACAUAAAACUCCCUGCAAUCAUUCUCCUGUUGAAUGUUCAUCGCCAU